CCUACGGGUGGCUGCAGUGGGGAAUAUUGCACAAUGGGCGCAAGUCUGAUGCAGCCAUGCCGCGUGUGUGAAGAAGGCCUUCGGGUUGUAAAGCACUUUCAGCGGGGAGGAAGGCGGUGAGGUUAAUAACCUCAUCGAUUGACGUUACCCGCAGAAGAAGCACCGGCUAACUCCGUGCCAGCAGCCGCGGUAAUACGGAGGGUGCAAGCGUUAAUCGGAAUUACUGGGCGUAAAGCGCACGCAGGCGGUCUGUCAAGUCGGAUGUGAAAUCCCCGGGCUCAACCUGGGAACUGCAUUCGAAACUGGCAGGCUAGAGUCUUGUAGAGGGGGGUAGAACUCCAGGUGUAGCGGUGAAAUGCGUAGAGAUCUGGAGGAAUACCGGUGGCGAAGGCGGCCCCCUGGACAAAGACUGACGCUCAGGUGCGAAAGCGUGGGGAGCAAACAGGAUUAGAUACCCCAGUAGUC
rnacentral:rRNA from 1 species